rnacentral:rRNA from 1 species
UACGAAGGGGGCUAGCGUUGCUCGGAAUCACUGGGCGUAAAGCGCACGUAGGCGGACUCUUAAGUCGGUGGUGAAAUCCUGGAGCUCAACUCCAGAACUGCCUUCGAUACUGGAAAGCUCGAGUCCGGGAGAGGUGAGUGGAACUGCGAGUGUAGAGGUGAAAUUCGUAGAUAUUCGCAAGAACACCAGUGGCGAAGGCGGCUCACUGGCCCGAUACUGACGCUGAGGCACGAAAGCGUGGGGAGCGAACAGG